UUGAUAGUACCUUACUACUUGGAUAACCGUGGUAAUUCUAGAGCUAAUACAUGCUGAAAACCCCAACUUCGGGAGGGGUGUAUUUAUUAGAUAAAAAACCAACGCCCUUCGGGGCUUCUUGGUGAUUCAUGAUAACUUUACGGAUCGCAUGGCCUUGCGCCGGCGACGGUUCAUUCAAAUUUCUGCCCUAUCAACUUUCGAUGGUAAGGUAUUGGCUUACCAUGGUUUCAACGGGUAACGGGGAAUUAGGGUUCGAUUCCGGAGAGGGAGCCUGAGAAACGGCUACCACAUCCAAGGAAGGCAGCAGGCGCGCAAAUUACCCAAUCCCGACACGGGGAGGUAGUGACAAUAAAUACUGAUACAGGGCUCUUUUGGGUCUUGUAAUUGGAAUGAGUACAAUUUAAACCUCUUAACGAGGAACAAUUGGAGGGCAAGUCUGGUGCCAGCAGCCGCGGUAAUUCCAGCUCCAAUAGCGUAUAUUAAAGUUGUUGCAGUUAAAAAGCUCGUAGUUGAAACUUGGGUCUGGCUGGCAGGUCCGCCUCACCGCGUGUACUUGUCCGGCCGGGCCUUCCUUCUGGAGAACCUCAUGCCCUUCACUGGGCGUGUUGGGGACCAGGACUUUUACUUUGAAAAAAUUAGAGUGUUCAAAGCAGGCCUUUGCUCGAAUACGUUAGCAUGGAAUAAUAGAAUAGGACGUGCGGUCCUAUUUUGUUGGUUUCUAGGACCGCCGUAAUGAUUAAUAGGGACAGUCGGGGGCAUCAGUAUUCAAUUGUCAGAGGUGAAAUUCUUGGAUUUAUUGAAGACUAACUACUGCGAAAGCAUUUGCCAAGGAUGUUUUCAUUAAUCAGUGAACGAAAGUUAGGGGAUCGAAGACGAUCAGAUACCGUCGUAGUCUUAACCGUAAACUAUGCCGACUAGGGAUCGGGCGAUGUUCUUUUUCUGACUCGCUCGGCACCUUACGAGAAAUCAAA
rnacentral:rRNA from 6 species